rnacentral:rRNA from 1 species
UGGGGAAUAUUGGGCAAUGGAGGCAACUCUGACCCAGCAACGCCGCGUGAGCGAUGAAGGUCUUCGGAUUGUAAAGCUCUUUAAGUGGGGACGAAGAAAGUGACUGUACCCACAGAAUAAGCCUCGGCUAACUACGUGCCAGCAGCCGCGGUAAUACGUAGGAGGCAAGCGUUAUCCGGAAUGACUGGGCGUAAAGGGUGCGUAGGUGGUUUGGCAAGUUGGUAGCGUAAUCCCGAGGCUCAACCUCGGUGCUACUACCAAAACUGUUGAACUUGAGUGCAGAAGGGGUAGAUGGAAUUCCUAGUGUAGCGGUGGAAUGCGUAGAUAUUAGGAGGAACACCAGCGGCGAAGGCGAUCUACUGGGCUGUAACUGACACUGAGGCACGAAAGCGUGGGGAGCAAACAGG